rnacentral:tRNA from 1 species
CGGAUGUACCCAAGGGGAUUAAGGCAGG